rnacentral:rRNA from 1 species
AACGAACGCUGGCGGCGUGCUUAAUACAUGCAAGUCGCACGAGAAAGUCCUUCGGGAUGAGUAGAGUGGCGCACGGGAGAGUAAUACAUAGGAACGUACCUAUCAGUGGGGAAUAACCACGGGAAACUGUGGCUAAUACCGCAUGACCUCGCAAGAGCAAAGCGGGCCUCUACUUGUAAGCUCGCGCUGAUAGAGCGGCCUAUGUCCCAUUAGCUAGUUGGCGGGGUAAUGGCCCACCAAGGCGACGAUGGGUAGCUGGUCUGAGAGGAUGAUCAGCCUCACUGGGACUGAGACACGGCCCAGACUCCUACGGGAGGCAGCAGUAGGGAAUUUUGCACAAUGGGCGCAAGCCUGAUGCAGCAACGCCGCGUGAGUGAAGAAGGCCUUUGGGCUGUAAAGCUCUUUCGGCUGGGAAGAAGGGUGUGCUGACGAAUAGGCUGCACAUCUGACGGUACCAGAAGAAGAAGCCCCGGCUAACUU